UACGUAGGGGGCAAGCGUUAUCCGGAUUUACUGGGUGUAAAGGGAGCGUAGACGGCAUAGCAAGUUUGAAGUGAAAGCCCGCAGCUCAACUGCGGGACUGCUUUGAAAACUGUUAAGCUAGAGUGCUGGAGAGGUAAGCGGAAUUCCUAGUGUAGCGGUGAAAUGCGUAGAUAUUAGGAGGAACACCAGUGGCGAAGGCGGCUUACUGGACAGUAACUGACGUUGAGGCUCGAAAGCGUGGGGAGCAAACAGG
rnacentral:rRNA from 1 species